GUCUGGGGAUCUGCCCGAUAGAGGGGGAUAACCACUGGAAACGGUGGCUAAUACCGCAUAACGUCGCAAGACCAAAGAGGGGGAUAACCACUGGAAACGGUGGCUAAUACCGCAUAACGUCGCAAGACCAAAGAGGGGGACCUUCGGGCCUCUCACUAUCGGAUGAACCCAGAUGGGAUUAGCUAGUAGGCGGGGUAAUGGCCCACCUAGGCGACGAUCCCUAGCUGGUCUGAGAGGAUGACCAGCCACACUGGAACUGAGACACGGUCCAGACUCCUACGGGAGGCAGCAGUGGGGAAU
rnacentral:rRNA from 1 species